GAUGAACGCUGGCGGUAUGCUUAACACAUGCAAGUCGAACGGCAGCAUAAUCUUCGGAUUGAUGGCGAGUGGCGGACGGGUGAGUAAUAUAUAGGAAUCUGCCUUGUAGUGGGGGAUAACUAUCCGAAAGGAUAGCUAAUACCGCAUAAUGAUUACGGUUUAAAGCAGGGGAUCUUCGGACCUUGCGCUACAAGUUGAGCCUAUACAAGAGUUAGCUAGUUGGUGAGGUAAAGGCUCACCAAGGCGACGAUCUUUAGCUGGUCUGAGAGGAUGAUCAGCCACACUGGGACUGAGACACGGCCCAGACUCUUACGGGAGGCAGCAGUGGGGAAUAUUGGACAAUGGGCGCAAGCCUGAUCCAGCAAUACCGCGUGUGUGAAGAAGGCCUUCGGGUUGUAAAGCACUUUUGUUAGGGAGGAUGGUGAUUUUGGCGAAUACCCAAAGUCAUUGACGUUACCUAAAGAAUCAGCACCGGCUAACUCCGUGCCAGCAGCCGCGGUAA
rnacentral:rRNA from 1 species